rnacentral:rRNA from 1 species
AAGCGGUGGAGCAUGUGGCUUAAUUCGAGGCUACGCGAAGAACCUUAUCCUGGACUUGACAUGUGCGAAAGCGCUAGGAAGUAGCUGCCGGAAACGGCCAGCCAACGGUAUCCAGUCCGGAACCUAGUACAGGUGCUGCAUGGCUGUCGUCAGCUCGUGUCGUGAGAUGUUAGGUUAAGUCCUGUAACGAGCGAAACCCUUGUCCUUAGUUGCAACCGCAAGGGCACUCUAGGGAGACUGCAGGUGUUAAGCCUGAGGAAGGUGGGGAUG